rnacentral:rRNA from 1 species
AGGACGAACGCUGGCGGCGUGCUUAACACAUGCAAGUCGAGCGGAAAGGCCUUUCGGGGUACUCGAGCGGCGAACGGGUGAGUAACACGUGAGUAAUCUGCCCAUCGCUUCAGGAUAGCCAUCGGAAACGGUGAUUAAUACUGGAUAUGACAUUCCUUCGCAUGUUGGGGUGUGGUAAAGUUUUUUCGGCGGUGGAUGUGCGUCGCGGCCUAU